CAGUCCCGCGGGAAUACGGAGGGUGCAAGCGUUAAUCGGAAUUACUGGGCGUAAAGCGCACGCAGGCGGUUUGUUAAGUCAGAUGUGAAAUCCCCGGGCUCAACCUGGGAACUGCAUUUGAAACUGGCAAGCUAGAGUCUCGUAGAGGGGGGUAGAAUUCCAGGUGUAGCGGUGAAAUGCGUAGAGAUCUGGAGGAAUACCGGUGGCGAAGGCGGCCCCCUGGACGAAGACUGACGCUCAGGUGCGAAAGCGUGGGGAGCAAACAGGAUUAGAUACCCCAGUAGUCCCUGUCUCUUAUACA
rnacentral:rRNA from 1 species